GAAGAUGCUUUUGCUGCUGCCAUUUCACAGACGGGAAAGCGACAACGGCCCGCCUGGACUUGAACACAGGCCCAAGGCCUUCUGACCACUUGCCCGCCUCUGCUGGUCUCCCUGCAGGCUGCCACUUGGGGAGGGCUGGCCCACGAGGGACUCCUGAGCACAGCACGCUCAACAUUUACCAGUGAAGGAAUGCAUUUGCUGUUCCCUGUGCACCAAGAACACUGUCACCCCACCUCUGCCCAAGGCAGCUCCUCAGGUCUCAGCCCAAAAGCUGCCUCCUCCGGGAAACCCUCCCUGACCUUCCCAUGGGAAGUCUAGGCCCUCAGUCACUCCUCUCACACCCCUGCUUCAUUUCCGUCACCAUUCUCAUUAUAAUCAGAAUUAUCUUGCCUGCCAGUCUUGCUGUCUGUCCCCACGGCCUUCACUACUGUGUCCCUGGUGCCUAGAACAGAGCCUGGUACAUAGAAGGUGCUCGAUGAAUGCUUUUCCCUAUCCCAUUUUCAAGAGGAGAAAACUGAGGCGAUUUGCCAAGGGGAGAUCCACGUGGCUGCUUUGACAGAGAGUGUUCUGCAAAAGGGCUUAGAAAUCAGCCAGCAGGUGGCAGGUUCUGGGACUGCAGGAGCCAUUCACAUGCGUGAAGAUCCGCUGGGCGCCCUUGCUCUGGGAUCAGGAAAGGCCGGUGCCAUGGAUGUGAUAGAUGCACACAGGGCAUCAGCAGGCCGCCGAGAGGAACCAGAGUGUCCAACGAACAGAAAACAGUGCUCAACCUUCACAUUUAUCGAAUGUUCCUUGGCACAUGCUGUAAUUCUGGCCCUAAAGACACAUUCAUGGACAAGACAAGCAAUUCCUGUUCUCGUGGAGCUGAAAUUCUCCUGGGGGAAGACAAGCACUAAACAAGAUCAAUGAUUAAAGUAUAGAUUGUAUUAGAUUCUGGUCAGCACUAUGGAGGAAAAUACAGCAGGGGAGCAGAGCAGGAGUUCUGGGAGAUUUGAUUUUUUGUUUUCUGGGGUUUUUUGUUUGUUUGUUUUUUGAGACAGGGUCUCACUGCUGGAGUGCAGUGGCACGAUCUCUGCUCACUGCAGCCUCUGCUUCUUGGGCUCAGGUGAUCCUCCCACCUCAACCUCCCAAGUAGCUGGGACCACAGGGGCAUGCCACCACACCCAGCUGAUUUUUUAAUGUUUUGUAGAGAUCAGGUCUCAUUAUAUUGCCCAAGCUGGGGGAGUUGAUUUUAACUUUAUGUUAGAGUAGUCAGGGAAGACCUCACUGAGGUGACAUUUAAGCAAAAACCUGAAUGUGGUGAAGCAGGUAUCUGGGGGACCUUGGACCACACAAAGGGAACAGCAAGUGCAAAGGCCCUGAGGUAGGAGCACGUAGUUGUGGUGAUGACGGAGAGUAGCAGGAAUUUGUGUCAUAGAAAUAGUGGGGGCUGGCCAGGCACAGCGGCUCAUGCCUGCAAUCCUAGCACUUUGGGAGGCCGAGGUGGGUGGAUUACUUGAGGUCAGGAGUCUGAGACCAGCCUGGCCAACAUGGUGAAACCCCAUCUCUACUAAAAAUUAAAAAAAAAAAAAUGGCCAGGCAUGGUGGCGUGCAUCUGUAAUCCCAGCUAUUCAGGAGGCUGAGACAUGAGAAUCACUUGAACCCGGGAGGCGGAGGUUGCAGUGAGCCGAAAUUGUGCCUCUGCACUCCAACCUGGGUGACAAAGCAAGACUCUGCCUCCAAAAAAAAAAAAAUGGAACAUGGAAACAUGGAAUGGGAGAAAAUAUUUGCAAAUCAUAUAUCUGAUAAGGGGUUCAUAUCCAGAAUACAUAAAGAACUGUUACAACUCAACAGCAAUAAAAACAACUCAAUUAAAAAUGGGCAAAGGACUUGAAUAAACAUUUCUCCAGAGAAAACUGUGAAUGGCUAAUAAUCACAUGAUAAGAUACUCAACAUCACUAACCAUUAAGGAAAUACAAACCAAAACUGCAAUGAGGCGCAACACUUUGGUGGAUCACCUGAGGUCAAGAGUUGGAGACCAGCCUGGCCGACACGGUGAAACCCCGUCUCUACUAAAAAUACAAAAAUUAGCUGGGCGUGAUGGUACGUGCGUAUAGUCCCAGCUACUUGGGAGGCUGAGGCAGGAGAAUCACUUGAACCUGGGAGGUGGAGGUUGCAGCAAGCCAAGAUCACGCCACUGCACCCCAGCCUGGGCAACUGAGUGAGACUCCAUCUAAAAAACAAACAAAACGCAAUGAGAAGAGAGGAUUUUGAAUGUUCCCGACACAAAGAAAUGAUAAACGCUUGAGGUAAUGGAUAUCCUAAUUACCCAGAUUUGAUUAUUACACGUUGUAUACAUGUAUUGAAAUAUCAUUUUGUAACCCAUGAACAUGUACAAUUAUGUGUCAACUAAAAAUAAAAGGAAUAAAACACAAUGAGAUACCACCUUACGCCCAUUAGGCUGGCUGCUGCGUUGGGAAGGAUGUGUAGAAACUGGAAUGCUUGUGUAGCUACUGUGGGAAAUGGUAUGGCUGUUCCUCAAAAAAUUAAAAAUAGAAUUACCAAAUGACCCAGCAAUUUUAUUUCUGGGUGUGUAUCCAAACGAAUUGAAAGCAAGAUCUUGAAGAGAUAUUUGUACACUCACGUUCAUAGCAGCCUUCUUCACAAUAGCCAAAAGGUGGAAGCAAUUAGCUGGGUGUGGUGGCGGGUGCCUGUAAUCCCUGCUACUU
rnacentral:lncRNA from 1 species